UGACAACAAUUUCACGGGGUAAAAUUGAACGGAAUGUCAUUAUAAAUUUAAUUGAACUCGCUUUAAUAACUGGCAAUUCAUUAACUGCAAUCAAUAAUCAAUUUUUUACUUUUGAUUUCAUUUUGUUUCAUUUAGGAUAGGCAAGAGGAUUAAGGUAUCUUAUACGCUCCAGACAUUGACGAUUAAUAUGUCCGCAAGAGUCAAAAUCACCCGGGCCAUCCAUGCACUUUUUUUUUAGGCACCAACUUCAAGUGAUAAUAAUAAUAAUUUUAUUUAUAAAAAAAAAUGUUUGUUAAGGUAAAAAACUAUUCUGAUCAAUAUUAGAAAAAAGAAGCAUGACUAAU